CACGUAGGGCGCAAGCGUUGUCCGGAAUUAUUGGGCGUAAAGAGCUCGUAGGCGGUCUGUUGCGUCCGCUGUGAAAACUCGAGGCUUAACCUCGAGAUGUCAUCGGAAACCAUUUUUGGCUAGAGUCCGGAAGAGGAGAGUGGAAUUCCUGGUGUAGCGGUGAAAAUGCGCAGAUAUCAGGAAGAACACCAAUGGCGAAAGCAGCUCUCUGGGACGGUACUGACGCUGAGACGCGAAAAGCGUGGGGGAGCGAACAGGAUAGAAA
rnacentral:rRNA from 1 species